UACGUAGGGUGCAAGCGUUAAUCGGAAUUACUGGGCGUAAAGCGUGCGCAGGCGGUUUUGUAAGACUGACGUGAAAUCCCCGGGCUCAACCUGGGAAUGGCGUUGGUGACUGCAAGGCUAGAGUUUGGCAGAGGGGGGUAGAAUUCCACGUGUAGCAGUGAAAUGCGUAGAUAUGUGGAGGAACACCGAUGGCGAAGGCAGCCCCCUGGGUCAAAACUGACGCUCAUGCACGAAAGCGUGGGAAGCAAACAGG
rnacentral:rRNA from 1 species